rnacentral:rRNA from 1 species
AUGGCGAACCUGUUCCUGAAGCAGGCGAAGCACUACGCGGCGGCGCGGCCCGACUACCCGGCGGAGCUCUUCCAGUUCAUCGCGUCCAAGACGGCGCGCCACGACCUCGCGUGGGACGUCGGCACCGGCAGCGGCCAGGCCGCGGUCUCGCUGGCGAAGCUGUACAAGAAGGUGGUGGGCACGGACACGAGCGCGCAGCAGCUGGCCUACGCGCGGGCGCUCCCCAACGUGCGCUACGCCCACACCCCGGCGGACCUGCCGCUCGAGGGCAUCCACGCGGCCGUCGCGCCGCCGGGCACCGUCGACGUGGUCACCGUGGCGCAGGCCUUCCACUGGCUCGACCUGCCGCGCUUCUACGCGCAGACCCGCUCCCUCCUGCGCGCGCACGGCGUCCUCGCCGCAUGGUGCUACACGGAGCCCCGCGUGGGCGCCGCCGUCGACGCCGUCUUCUGGCGCCUCUACGACGGCUCCCAGCCCCACUGGGCUCCCAACCGGAAGAUGGUCGACGACGAGUACCGCAGCGCCUACUUCCCCUUCGACCCCGUCGACGGCGAGACCCACACUGGCCCCUUCGAGUUCUCCACCGAGCGCCGCAUGGACCUCGACGACUACUUCACCUACAUCAAGUCCUGGUCCGCGUACCAGACCGCCAAGGACAAUGGCGUCGAGCUGCUCGACGACGAGACUGUGCGGGAGUUCGCCGACGCGUGGGGCGGCGACCGCCAGGAGGUCAAGACGGUGACGUACCCCAUCUUCCUCAGGAUCGGCAAGGUGAGGCCUUGA